rnacentral:rRNA from 1 species
AGUGAACGCUGGCGGCAGGCCUAACACAUGCAAGUCGAGCGGCAGCGCGUCCGACCACCCUCGGGUGGUCGGAUGGCGGCGAGCGGCGGACGGGUGAGGAAUGCAUCGGAAUCUGCCUCGUUGUGGGGGAUAACGUAGGGAAACUUACGCUAAUACCGCAUACGACCUACGGGUGAAAGUGGGGGACCUUCGGGCCUCACGCGAUGAGAUGAGCCGAUGCCGGAUUAGCUAGCUGGCGGGGUAAAGGCCCACCAAGGCGACGAUCCGUAGCUGGUCUGAGAGGAUGAUCAGCCACACUGGAACUGAGACACGGUCCAGACUCCUACGGGAGGCAGCAGUGGGGAAUAUUGGACAAUGGGGGCAACCCUGAUCCAGCCAUGCCGCGUGUGUGAAGAAGGCC